GAGUUUGAUCUUGGCUCAGAUUGAACGCUGGCGGCAGGCCUAACACAUGCAAGUCGGGCGGUAGAGAGAAGCUUGCUUCUCUUGAGAGCGGCGGACGGGUGAGUAAUGCCUAGGAAUCUGCCUGGUAGUGGGGGAUAACGCUCGGAAACGGACGCUAAUACCGCAUACGUCCUACGGGAGAAAGCAGGGGACCUUCGGGCCUUGCGCUAUCAGAUGAGCCUAGGUCGGAUUAGCUAGUUGGUGAGGUAAUGGCUCACCAAGGCGACGAUCCGUAACUGGUCUGAGAGGAUGAUCAGUCACACUGGAACUGAGACACGGUCCAGACUCCUACGGGAGGCAGCAGUGGGGAAUAUUGGACAAUGGGCGAAAGCCUGAUCCAGCCAUGCCGCGUGUGUGAAGAAGGUCUUCGGAUUGUAAAGCACUUUAAGUUGGGAGGAAGGGCAGUAAAUUAAUACUUUGCUGUUUUGACGUUACCGACAGAAUAAGCACCGGCUAACUCUGUGCCAGCAGCCG
rnacentral:rRNA from 1 species